rnacentral:rRNA from 1 species
GCUUAACACAUGCAAGUCGAGGGGCAGCAUGGUCUUAGCUUGCUAAGGCCGAUGGCGACCGGCGCACGGGUGAGUAACACGUAUCCAACCUGCCGUCUACUCUUGGACAGCCUUCUGAAAGGAAGAUUAAUACAAGAUGGCAUCAUGAGUCCGCAUGUUCACAUGAUUAAAGGUAUUCCGGUAGACGAUGGGGAUGCGUUCCAUUAGAUAGUAGGCGGGGUAACGGCCCACCUAGUCUUCGAUGGAUAGGGGUUCUGAGAGGAAGGUCCCCCACAUUGGAACUGAGACACGGUCCAAACUCCUACGGGAGGCAGCAGUGAGGAAUAUUGGUCAAUGGGCGAGAGCCUGAACCAGCCAAGUAGCGUGAAGGAUGACUGCCCUAUGGGUUGUAAACUUCUUUUAUAAAGGAAUAAAGUCGGGUAUGGAUACCCGUUUGCAUGUACUUUAUGAAUAAGGAUCGGCUAACUCCGUGCCAGCAGCCGCGGUAAUACGGAGGAUCCGAGCGUUAUCCGGAUUUAUUGGGUUUAAAGGGAGCGUAGAUGGAUGUUUAAGUCAGUUGUGAAAGUUUGCGGCUCAACCGUAAAAUUGCAGUUGAUACUGGAUAUCUUGAGUGCAGUUGAGGCAGGCGGAAUUCGUGGUGUAGCGGUGAAAUGCUUAGAUAUCACGAAGAACUCCGAUUGCGAAGGCAGCCUGCUAAGCUGCAACUGACAUUGAGGCUCGAAAGUGUGGGUAUCAAACAGGAUUAGAUACCCUGGUAGUCCACACGGUAAACGAUGAAUACUCGCUGUUUGCGAUAUACUGCAAGCGGCCAAGCGAAAGCGUUAAGUAUUCCACCUGGGGAGUACGCCGGCAACGGUGAAACUCAAAGGAAUUGACGGGGGCCCGCACAAGCGGAGGAACAUGUGGUUUAAUUCGAUGAUACGCGAGGAACCUUACCCGGGCUUAAAUUGCAGAUGAAUUACGGUGAAAGCCGUAAGCCGCAAGGCAUCUGUGAAGGUGCUGCAUGGUCGUCGUCAGCUCGUGCCGUGAGGUGUCGGCUUAAGUGCCAUAACGAGCGCAACCCUUGUUGUCAGUUACUAACAGGUUCCGCUGAGGACUCUGACAAGACUGCCAUCGUAAGAUGUGAGGAAGGUGGGGAUGACGUCAAAUCAGCACGGCCCUUACGUCCGGGGCUACACACGUGUUACAAUGGGGGGUACAGAGGGCCGCUACCACGCGAGUGGAUGCCAAUCCCCAAAACCUCUCUCAGUUCGGACUGGAGUCUGCAACCCGACUCCACGAAGCUGGAUUCGCUAGUAAUCGCGCAUCAGCCACGGCGCGGUGAAUACGUUCCCGGGCCUUGUACACACCGCCCGUCAAGCCAUGGGAGCCGGGGGUACCUGAAGUGCGUAACCGCGAGGAGCGCCCUAGGGUAAAACUGGUGACUGGGGCUAAGUCGU